CACACCGCCCGUCACACCAUGGGGGUUGGUUCUACCCGAAGGCAGUGCGCUAACCGCAAGGAGGCAGCUGACCACGGUGGGAUCAGCGACUGGGGUG
rnacentral:rRNA from 1 species